CCUACGGGAGGCAGCAGUGAGGAAUAUUGGUCAAUGGACGUAAGGCUGAACCAGCCAAGUCGCGUGAAGGCAACAGGAUCUAUGGUUUGUAAACUUCUUUUAUAGGGGAAUAAAGGUAUCCACGUGUGGAUUUUUGCAUGUACCUUCUGAAUAAGCAUCGGCUAACUCCGUCCCAGCAGCCGCGGUACAACGGAGGAUGCGAGCGUUAUCCGGAUUUAUUGGGUUUAAAGGUUGCAUAGUUUGUUUUUUAAGUCAGCGGUGAAAGUUUGUGUCUCAAACAUAAAAUUGUCGUUGAAACUGGAAGACUUGAGUGUGUUUGAGGUAGGCGGAAUGCGUGGUGUAGCGGUGAAAUGCAUAGAUAUCACGCAGAACUCCGAUUGCGAAGGCAGCUUACUAGGCCAUAACUGACACUGAAGCACGAAAGCGUGGGGAUCAAACAGGAUUAGAUACCCGAGUAGUC
rnacentral:rRNA from 1 species